rnacentral:rRNA from 1 species
CCUGGCUGCACUAGCGCGGUGGUCCCACCUGACCCCAUGCCGAACUCAGAAGUGAAACGCCGUAGCGCCGAUGGUAGUGUGGGGUCUCCCCAUGUGAGAGUAGGGAACUGCCAGGC